CUAGGACCGCCGUAAUGAUUAAUAGGGAUAGUCGGGGGCGUCAGUAUUCAGCUGUCAGAGGUGAAAUUCUUGGAUUUGCUGAAGACUAACUACUGCGAAAGCAUUCGCCAAGGAUGUUUUCAUUAAUCAGGGAACGAAAGUUAGGGGAUCGAAGACGAUCAGAUACCGUCGUAGUCUUAACCAUAAACUAUGCCGACUAGGGAUCGGGCGGCGUUUCUAUGAUGACCCGCUCGGCACCUUACGAGAAAUCAAAGUUUUUGGGUUCUGGGGGGAGUAUGGUCGCAAGGCUGAAACUUAAAGAAAUUGACGGAAGGGCACCACAAGGCGUGGAGC
rnacentral:rRNA from 1 species